GGGUCAUUAGGUUGGUCGUGCCACCGGUACGUACUGGUCUCACUGAUUCCUCCUUCCUGAAGAACCGUAAUGCCAUUAAUUUGGUGUUGCGGGGAAACAGGACUGUUACUUUGAAAAAAUGAGAGUGUUUAAAGCAAGCUAAAGCUUGAAUACAUUAGCAUGGAAUAAUGAAAUAGGACGAUCGAUCCUAUUUUGUUGGCUUCUAGGAUUGACGUA
rnacentral:rRNA from 1 species